UCCUUUGAUAUUAGUAUCAGAGAGAUGCAAUAACUCGUAAGAGAGCUAUGGGAUCAAAUGGCUGGAUACCACCAGGCUAUGAUGGGUUUACGAUCGUGUAGCACUUCAGUUGUCAGGUAGAUGUCGUGGAUGGCAUAUCAGAGAGCUAUGAACCUGUCAUUGGUCGAGACUAGUGCAAUCAGUGUGCAGCACAUCGUAAUCGACUGUAGAUCUAUCUUUAGUGGUGCCAUAGCAUUCAGUGGAAUAGGUGGAGGGAAAUACGAGUAUGCUUUCAGUUUGUAGUGAAGCAUGAUCAGGAUUGGAAACGACUUCAGUCUGCAGGGAUGACAGCAUCAUUCAUGGAAUGUACAAUUGGGAUAGUAGUUUCUCAUUCGAUCAGGAGACAAUAAGGUGGUUACCAGUCAUGAAUUUGUAAUCAGUACCUUAUAACUAACAGGAUUUAUCUUUGGAUCACAAUAUGGCAUAUGAUGGGUUUUUGAUUAAUUUUGCGGAAGUAUAAUUUGCUCUGGAUUAGUAGGCUCCUGUUGCAGCCCGGAUUAUAAUCUUAAUAGGAUAAAUAAUGAAGGAUUAGGUUCUAAAUCAUUGGAUGCUGUUUCAGCAGCAGCCCACAGAUGAAAGAGGACUUAGUGUUUCCAAUUACCAAAGGCAUGCAAGUGGGCUUCAUCAAUCUAGAACUCCAAAGGAAAAACGAUCUCCAAUGCUGGAGGCUGGUGAUACCACUGUUGUAGGCAUGCACUCUCAAAGCACAGCUAAUAGGGAUGUCCACACCAACUCAGUUGGCGAUGCAAUCCAGGAUAAUUCACUGUGACAGAGAUAUCACAUUAGGACCUGAAGUGAUAAAAAGCUGCAGCAUCACUCAGAUGGUUUACAGCACAGGCGAGGAUUAGCAGCAAUCAACCAGGUUUUCUGCCGGGAGCUUUCUGGGCACUCGAUUGACAGCAGAAUACCUCCUAUGACAACCAUGAUCCAGCGAUAGAGCAGCCAUUGGCGGAGAAGAUCUCAAAGGCAUUCAGCUACCACUUCUUGAGUUACAGGUUACAGUUUAUGACAUCUCGACUGAAUGUGGCUGAUGACCAGCCACAGAACAGAUGGUAAAUAUCAAGAGGAGAUGCCAAAGAUCUGCUGAUACAUGUAAGACAGAAGGCAAAUCUGCUGAACCGUCCACAAAAGGCCCAAGGAUCACAUACAGGAACUUGCUGAGGAAUGUAGAAUUUAAAAGCCGGUGAUGGGAAGCUGCUAGUUCUUGAUAUGCCUACACAAGUGACUGGUACUGUAAGGCUUUUGGUGAUGGCAGCACAACUGGCAUUUUGACAACUUUUGCCACUCAAUGACCAAAGGAAAAUGACGAGUCCAUGAAAGGGUCAAGGAGCGUUUGUUCAGGAAUGUAAGAGCAGAUGAUCAAAAGUGAUUAAGUUUGGCAGAUGUUCAGAGAAUGUGGAGAGCACUAUACUGAGUGACAUGAACUUGUGAUGCUAACAACAACAGAGUAAGGAAGUUCACAGUGCCAUGAUUCAGGGACAGUUUGGUUAUCUCCAGCAGAAUGUUCUUUUAACUAUCAACACUGGAUUGAAAGGAUGAACAAGAGAAGAUGGUAGCUGUGAUAAUGGACCCAAACAUGAGGGUCUUGUUUUUCAUUCAGCUGUCAGAGAUUGAGGAAGAUGUUGUCUAGUGAUUCAGAAAACAGAGACCUGAGAAAAGCCAUCAAGAUAACGAUAGCGAGGGAAUCACAGGAAAGGAAUAUGAAGGUCUGCAAAAGGAAUGGAGCCAAGAUCAUCAUCAACAUGUCCUUAGUGUGUUAAUUUCAACUUAGGAAUACUGAAUCAUUAGACCAAUCAUGGAAUUACCACUACAGUCCAGCAGCAGAAAUAUCAGAAAAAAACAUUCAAAGUGUUUUGUUGUGUUUGAAAUGCAAAAUAUGAUGAAUCUAAUGAAGCACUGGGGUGAAUACAUUUGAAGAUGUUGAAAACACAAUGCAUCAGAAAUAUAAGUGAAACACUUCGGAAUACAAAAGCCUACAUCAAUUGCUACUAAGAAUAUCAAUGGGAUAUUUUUAUUUGUGGAUACAUAAAACCUGUUUGUAAUAUGUCAGUUGAGAAGGCAACUUCAAUGGAAUAUCAGAUAUACCACAGAGUUUGGAUUCAUCCGAUAAUAACUACUUGGAAAGGUAUUUAAUCUGCAACCUGGAUAUCUCUGGAAUUUUUAUGAAUUUUUAUGAACAAUUGAGGAAGCCUGCAAAAAGUGGAGAAAUAAACCUCAUGGAAUAGCAGACGCUAAAGAAGAAGUGCAACCACUGCACCUGGAUGUUGAUUCAAAACCAGUCAAAGAGAUAUAGCACUUGACAUAGGAAUUGGUAAUGUCGAUUGCAACAUGCAUGUGGAUGUUGGAGUAGCAUUACAAGACGCAGGCAAGACACAAGGCUCAAUUCUCAGAGUGAACAGCUUUCCCUGACGUUCCAUUCAGAUGGCACCCCACAAUAAGUCGAAAGGAUUUACUUUAUUCUACGUUUGUGUUGGAUUAGACCUCUUUAGACAAGAGGGGAUGGCUAGGACAGUUAUAUUCUAUGUUAACAAGGCCCUGCUGCCCAAUGUUGCUGUGUCAACACACUGUCCCAAGCAGUGGUAAUGGAACUGUCACAUUUUAUGAAGAAGACCUUUAGCAGGACUCCUAUCCCAUGCAGUAUCCAGAGGACUGUCACAUUCUAUCAUAAAUCUCUAGCAGGGACAACUGUCCCAUCCACUGCCAAGAGGACUGUCACAUUCUAUGCUGGAUACAUUUAGUAAGUGCUACUGUCCCACUUCAGGUCAACAGGACUGUCACAUUCUAUGUUGGAUAUAUUAAACAGGGGCUGCUGUCCCAUGCAGUGUCAACAGAACCGUCACAUCCUAUGAAGGAUAUAUUUAGAAAGGGCUGGGUCAACCGGUCUGCAUUCCAAGCAGUGUUAUUAGGAUUAUUACAUAGUAUGGUGGAUAGUUUAGCUGCUGUCCAUCUUUUAAAAAUGACAGUAUACAAUUUCUUUUCAAACUGUUUAUUCUAAAAUUCUUACCCCUCCCUCCCUCACCUAAACUUGUCUCUGUUAACAGCAUUGAACAUCAAACUUAAAAUCUAUGAGAUCAACAAGAAAUGGAGAGCCACUUACCGGAAAAAAA